UACGUAGGGGGCAAGCGUUGUCCGGAAUCAUUGGGCGUAAAGAGCGUGUAGGCGGCUCGAUAAGUCUGCUGUGAAAGUCCAGGGCUCAACCCUGGAAGGCCGGUGGAAACUGUCGGGCUAGAGUCCGGAAGAGGCGAGUGGAAUUCCCGGUGUAGCGGUGAAAUGCGCAGAUAUCGGGAGGAACACCGAUGGCGAAGGCAGCCUUCUGGGCCAACACUGACGCUCAUGCACGAAAGCGUGGGGAGCAAACAGG
rnacentral:rRNA from 1 species